CGAACUGUACGCGCAUAGUUUACGCGCAUGUAACAAUUCGUUGUGUUACCCGUUUCCAAGUGUGUUGCUAAUGCUGAGGGUAAUAGAACAGAUUUAACAUGAAAGUUUAAUAAUAUAUUAUACAUAUCACAGGCACCUAGUAUGAAUAGGGCUACUUGGUAACAUUUGUUAGUCGCCAAUAGCAACAAAGUGUUUGAUUCUAUUAUUCUUCACUGUCAACUGAUAUAUCACAGCCAUUGCAAUCAUUUUUGUGAAUAUGUAACAGGGUGUUGUAUUGCCAUAAAAGUACCACAUGAAUUUAUUCAAAUAUUUUUAAAUAUGAUAUAAAUUUUUUGUUAGAUUUUCAACAAUUAUCCAUGUUUCAUUACGAUUACCUAAAUUGUUCUAAUUGUACUUCUUUUUGUCAUAAUAUUUAUGGUUCAUGGGGUUUAUGGGUAAGAAUUCUUUUAAAUACUGCUCAGAGCAUAACGUGAUUUUGCAGAACAGGAUGCGAUCCUCUGGCGCAGAUGAAACAUGCUCGUAACAUCGCAAGUCACUGGCGUAGUUGAAACUUACUCGUAAACUUGGCCUGCUGCAAAAUCAGAGCUUGCUUCAUAGGUAAAUUUAUUGAUAAACGUAUAUAUAUAUAGGGGUUGAUAAAUGGGUUGGGUUUUUGAUUUAAUGAUACAGAGAAAAACUUUGAUUGUAGUUUACUAUUAAUAUAGGUACAUUUAUAUGACAAUGUAUUGAUUUUUGAAAUUCAAAACUUUGUUUUUGGUCUGAGGUUGUAAAGUUGCAUUUUACUGUAAAAUUGAAAUCCAUUGCAAUUGCAUAUUGAUAGAUGCUCACAAAGACACAUAUAAAAUGCUUGCUGUUU
rnacentral:misc_RNA from 1 species